GUUGGGGUUGGGGUCACCGUGGUGGUGGUGCUGAUGGGUGUCGUUGUUGGGGUCUGUGUGCCGGUGGGUGUUGGGGUUGGGGUCACCGUGGUGGUGGUGGUGAUGGGUGUCAUGGUUGGGGUCUGUGUGCCGGUGGGUGUUGGGGUUGGGGUCACCGUAGUGGUGGUGCUGAUGGGUGUCGAUGUUGGGGUCUGUGUGCCGGUGGGUGUUGGGGUUGGGGUCACCAUAGUGGUGGUGGUGAUGGGUGUCAGGGUUGUACUCGGUGUGCCGGUUGGUGUUGGGGUUGGGGUCGGGGUGGUGGUGGUGGUGG
rnacentral:lncRNA from 1 species